CAGAAAACAAGUCGGAUCGAACAGAUUCGUCAACACAGGAAACCAACGGAGAUUGACUGUGUUGACGGGACCCACGUUGGUUGGCUCAGCGGCAAGGAAUCGGUAAUCUUUCCCGUGCUCGUAAUCGGAUUUCGGCCUAAGAUGCCUGUGUGUCCAUUAACAGACAAUCGAAGUUCUCCGCUGAUUGUCGGUUUCGCAUUCCUGGUUUUCCCCAAGCUUAAUUUGAUAAGGUAUUGAUAUCCUGAAAAUCGCCUCCAGUUUUGAAAUAAAUAUUUACAUUUUUCCUGCUACGAGUCGGGAAACUCGUCGCUUCCAAACCGAACGGAGCGCAUUUGUUAUUAUCCAAUCCGCAUGACGUACAAAGACCCUGAUUAAACGGAAUUAAAUGUCGAGCAGUCUGUCGGUAUUAACGAUUCACUGUAGAAACGGACAGACCUCAUGUGAUCGCAAGUGGAGGCAUCUGACACGAUGGCAGUGGGGUCGUUCCAAAUGGCCUGCAAAUCGGUAGGUUGACAGCCGGGUUGAUGUUUGCCACCGUUGGGACGGAAAUCCAAGUGACCCGAAGAUUCUACAAUCCCGAAACCUUAUGAGUAAUUUAUUAAGUAAAAGCCUGACUGCAUAUGUGAUUAACGAAGAUCACCCAAAGAUCCAGCGUUAGUAUGGACGACAUCAACAAAAUUAGCGUCUGUGUGAUCUAAACGAGCAAAUGACGGCAGCCCGUGGAAGUACGGUCCGGCAGGAUCCAAACCUAUAAAGAUCCAACAAACCCUUACACUAGGAGAGCUAUAAUCUUUGUAACAACAAAAUCUUACCUGUAAUUUGUCCGAGGUUACGAAUGUUUUCCCCAGCGUAGCCUGCAGUAUGGGCUCCGAGGCUAUGUCCAAUCAGAUGAACAUCCGUCGCCUGUACACCAAGUUUCUCCUUUUUUGCCAUCAGACAUGGAAAUAUGGAACAUUAACAAAGUUUCUAGGCAGGGUUUUUAUUCAUCUGUGGCUCACCACCAUCGUAUUAACGAGGAGAGCAAUUUCCAAACCAACAAGGCGAGUGUUGGCAUGGGAUUGGAAAUAGAUGGACCGCGACCCUCCACCCCAAUGAGCCCUGAUUAUGUUGUAAUCACCUUUAACCAGGAACCUUUGCACGAAUAUCUGACAAACGGUUUAGUAGUUCAUAGAAAUUAUUAUUUUUAAAAUUUAAAUCUUACAAAGAAGAGUUCUUCAUAGCCAGUAUUGCGCCAGCCGUGGAUGAAGAAUUUGGUGGGGCGGGUCGCUUUGAAUGUCGUUGCAGCGAUCCCGUUUGGGUCAUCAGCAGAUAUGUGAACUAGAGGCUGUAAUAAAAAUAAAUAGUAGACAUUCCUCUGUCAAAUCCAAAAUAA